rnacentral:rRNA from 1 species
UGGGGUCGAGUUGCAGACCCCAAUCCGAACUGAGACCGGUUUUUUGGGAUUCGCUCCACCUCACGGUUUCGCAGCCCUUUGUACCGGCCAUUGUAGCAUGCGUGAAGCCCAAGACAUAAGGGGCAUGAUGAUUUGACGUCAUCCCCACCUUCCUCCGAGUUGACCCCGGGCAGUCUCCUAUGAGUCCCCACCAUGACGUGCUGGCAACAUAAAGACGAGGGUUGCGCUCGUUGCGGGACUUAACCCAACAUCUCACGACACGAGCUGACGACAACCAUGCACCACCUGUACACCGACCUUGCGGGGCACCCAUCUCUGGAUGUUUCCGGNGGUAUGUCAAGCCUUG